UGGUCCAGAGCCUCGAAGAACGAGGCCUCAGGCCCCACCGGGGCAAAGGCCAUGGGGCACGACAGCCACAGGAGGCUCCAAGCACAGGGACCCCACCGGCGCGCACGACGGCCCUCCCGGGUGCCUGCUGCGCAUGCUCCCUGGCAGCGCGUGCCGGGCCCUUGCUUUCCGGCCUGAGCGGCGCAUGCGCACCAACCAGGCAUGCGCAUAGCGACUCUCACCGAGUGGAAAUCAGACGGGCUGGAUCAGGUGCGGGUGGGCCCAGUAGGGACCAGCCUGACAUGGAUUUAACUCGACAUCCAGUAUUUCAUCUAGCAAUCUUCACAUUGGACCACGCCCUUGCCUAGCAGAUGUGGAGGAUUUCAGGUGUCCAGCCUGCGCUCAGGUGACUCGCUGUGUGUGUGUGCACCACCCCCACAUCAAAGUCAGCCAGCCCGGCCCCGGGCCCUGGGAGGAAACCAGAAAAACAGAUUCCACCCUUAGCAACUGAUCGAAAACGAAACUGGCAAAUGCCACUUUGUGGAGCGAUCCCGGUGUUGGGUCCUGCGUACCUGCUGGCCAGCUCUGCUUGGCCGGGGGACAGAGAAGGGUCACAAAGCAGGACUGAGCUGCUCUUGGGAGAAUGAAAAGCUUCUCUCCCUGCCCACCCUGCCCCCACUACUGGGCCUUUCCUCUGAACCAACCUGACAUCCUGAAGUUUGUCUGCAGGCCAGAACCUUGGAGCGGUCUGGAAAGGAACAUUAUUUAAAUUAGGCACAAGGAUUGUGGGGAAGGAUGGGGAGGCCCUUUCCGAAAGAAAACCAAACAGGAGAGAGUGCCAUUCUUGCCACAUUUAAGCAAGAUGGCUUCCUCGGCAGAUGUAAGUGGAUUUUAACAUAACAUAGA